CGAGCGCAACCCUUGUCCCUUAGUUGCCAGCACGUAAUGGUGGGAACUCUAGGGAGACUGCCGGUGACAACCCGGAGGAAGGUGGGGACGACGUCAAGUCAUCAUGGCCCUUACGGCCUGGGCUACACACGUGCUACAAUGGGCAGUACAGAGGGCAGCCAAGUCGCGAGGCGGAGCAAAUCCCUUAAAACUGUUCGUAGUCCGGAUUGGAUUCUGCAACUCGCCUCCUUGAAGUCGGAAUCCCUAGUAAUCGCGAAUCAGAAUGCCCCGGUGAAUACUUUCCCGGGCCUUGUACACCCCGCC
rnacentral:rRNA from 1 species